GGGUGCAUAGCUCAGUUGGGAGAGCGCCUGCUUCGCAUGUAGGAGGUCGCGGGUUCGAAUCCCGCUGCAUCCACCA
rnacentral:tRNA from 1 species